GAUUCCAGAGACUCUAUGAAGCCACUAUUACAAGGUGAGACGCUUUGCGUUGAUUGGUGCUGCUGGACCACACUGGAGGUGCGAGUCCGCCGUGUAAUGGUUUAUGCCAUUACAAAGGAGCUGGCCUCUGUACUCAACUGGACAGGGGAAAAAAAACAAGGACCAGACAAAGCAAAAAAGGGCAUUUAAAGAGACAGCGCUGUGCAGAUGCAUAUUUGAUGGCCUGGCGCAGCAGGUAGGGGCGAACUCUAUGUCUGAGUUGGUCUUUGCUCAAGCAGUCCAGAAAUGGCUCAGAUACGCUCCAGAUCGUACGG